rnacentral:rRNA from 1 species
AGUGAACGCUGGCGGUAGGCCUAACACAUGCAAGUCGAACGGCAGCACAGUAAGAGCUUGCUCUUACGGGUGGCGAGUGGCGGACGGGUGAGGAAUACAUCGGAAUCUACUUUUUCGUGGGGGAUAACGUAGGGAAACUUACGCUAAUACCGCAUACGACCUACGGGUGAAAGCAGGUGAUCUUCGUACCUUGCGCGAUUGAAUGAGCCGAUGUCGGAUUAGCUAGUUGGCGGGGUAAAGGCCCACCAAGUCGACGAUCCGUAGCUGGUCUGAGAGGAUGAUCAGCCACACUGGAACUGAGACACGGUUCAGACUCCUACGGGAGGCAGCAGUGGGGAAUAUUGGACAAUGGGCGCAAGCCUGAUCCAGCCAUACCGCGUGGGUGAAGAAGGCCUUCGGGUUGUAAAGCCCUUUUGUUGGGAAAGAAAAGCAGCAGGUUAAUACCCCGCUGUUCUGACGGUACCCAAAGAAUAAGCACCGGCUAACUUCGUG